UAGAGAUCCACGUGUAAAAGGUUUUGUGAAGUUGCUUUACACCAUAUUGUUUAAGUGGUAUGCUGAUGAGUCUUACCGAUUGAGGAUACUCAAGAGGCUUGUUGAUCGUCUUACCAUUUCAAGGGAAAGUGCUUGUGAAGUAGAUCUAUAUAUGGAGAUAUUGAUAAUCUUGAUGUGUGAGGAGCAGGAAAUUGUUAGACCAGUCCUAACCAUGAUGAGGGAGGUUGCUGAACUUGCCAAUGUUGACCGCGCCGCACUUUGGCAUCAAUUGUGUGCUAUUGAAGAUGAAAUUAUGCGCAUUCGCGAGGAAAGGGAAGUGGAAAAUGCCAGUAUGGCUAAAGAAAAAUCUAUCAUGUCCCAAAAGCUUAAUGAAUCGGAGGCUACUAAUAACCGUCUCAAGUCUGAAAUGAGGAUUGAGAUGGAUCGUUUUGCUCGGGAAAGAAAGGAACUCGCGGAACAGAUACAAGAAGUUGAGAGUCAACUUGAUUGGCUACGGUCCGAGCGGGAUGAGAAAAUUGCUAAGCUCACUGCAGAAAAGAGAGCUAUUCAAGAUCGUCUGCAUGAUGCCGAGGCACAACUUUCCCAACUGAAAUCACGGAAACGUGAUGAAUUGAAGAGAGUGAUGAAGGAGAAAAAUGCUCUUGCGGAAAGGUUGAAAAAUGCUGAAGCUGCACGGAAAAGAUUUGAUGAGGAAUUGAAACGGUAUGCCACAGAAAAAGUGACCAGAGAGGAAUUACGAAAAUCACUUGAGGAUGAAGUACGCCGCUUGACCCAAACAGUUGGCCAAACGGAAGAGGAGAAACGUGAAAAGGAGGAGCAGGUUGCUCGCUGUGAAGCUUUUAUCGACGGAAUGGAAUCCAAGCUGGAGGCUUGCGAGCAAUACAUCCGUCAGCUUGAAGCAUCACUUCAGGAAGAAAUGUCUCGGCAUGCCCCACUGUAUGGAGCUGGCUUGGAAGCUUUAUCAAUGAAUGAGUUGGAGACAUUGUCACGUAUUCAUGAAGAAGGACUCAGACAGAUCCACGUUAUCCAACAGCGCAAUGGAAGUCCAGCUGGUAGUCCUCUAGGUCCGACGCUCCAAUUUCGCAUCUCCGUGGCUGGGAAUCACUUAGUAGAUAUUGAAGAUUGGUGAUCCUCAUGUUCCGAGGACUUAGCCUUUUA
rnacentral:misc_RNA from 1 species